rnacentral:rRNA from 1 species
ACCGGUGCUUGCACUGGUCAAUCUAGUGGCGAACGGGUGAGUAACACGUGGGUAACCUGCCCAUCAGAGGGGGAUAACAUCCGGAAACGGAUGCUAAAACCGCAUAGGUCUUCGAGCCGCAUGGCUUGAAGAGGAAAAGAGGCGCAAGCUUCUGCUGAUGGAUGGACCCGCGGUGCAUUAGCUAGUUGGUGAGGUAACGGCUCACCAAGGCCGUGAUGCAUAGCCGACCUGAGAGGGUGAUCGGCCACAUUGGGACUGAGACACGGCCCAAACUCCUACGGGAGGCAGCAGUAGGGAAUCUUCCGCAAUGGACGCAAGUCUGACGGAGCAACGCCGCGUGAGUGAAGAAGGUUUUCGGAUCGUAAAACUCUGUUGUUAGAGAAGAACAAGUGCUAGAGUAACUGUUAGCGCCUUGACGGUAUCUAACCAGAAAGCCACGGCUAACUACGUGCCAGCAGCCGCGGUAAUACGUAGGUGGCAAGCGUUGUCCGGAUUUAUUGGGCGUAAAGCGAGCGCAGGCGGUUCCUUAAGUCUGAUGUGAAAGCCCCCGGCUCAACCGGGGAGGGUCAUUGGAAACUGGGGAACUUGAGUGCAGAAGAGGAGAGUGGAAUUCCAUGUGUAGCGGUGAAAUGCGUAGAUAUAUGGAGGAACACCAGUGGCGAAGGCGACUCUCUGGUCUGUAACUGACGCUGAGGCUCGAA